UCUGUCGCUCAGUUGGUUAGAGCACUGCACUGGAGUCACAGGGCUGCAGGUUCGAUUUCUGUCAAUAGAA